CCUACGGGAGGCUGCAGUGAGGAAUAUUGGUCAAUGGCCGGAAGGCUGAACCAGCCAAGCCGCGUGAAGGACGAAGGUGCCAAGCAUUGUAAACUUCUUUUGUCAAGGGACAAAAUCAGGCUCGAGAGCCUGACCGAGGGUACUUGAAGAAAAAGCAUCGGCUAACUCCGUGCCAGCAGCCGCGGUAAUACGGAGGAUGCGAGCGUUAUCCGGAUUUAUUGGGUUUAAAGGGUGCGUAGGCGGUUUUUUAAGUUAGUGGUUAAACGUCGGGGCUUCACCUUGAUUUGCCAUUAAUACUGUAAGACUCGAGUUCAGACGAGGUAGGCGGAAUAAGUUAAGUAGCGGUGAAAUGCUUAGAUAUAACUUAGAACUCCGAUAGCGAAGGCAGCUUACCAGACUGCGACUGACGCUGAAGCACGAGAGCGUGGGUAGCGAACAGGAUUAGAUACCCCUGUAGUC
rnacentral:rRNA from 1 species